ACAGAUCUAAAAACUCCUUACGUAACAGAAGUCAUCCGAGAAAACAGCACCAAGUACUUCAACAAACUAGAAAAGCACUCCAACCCACUACUUCAACCACUACUACAACCUCACCAAAAUCGAAGACUCAAAAGAAUUUGGCCAUCAGAUCUAACAAACUGAGGAAAACAUCACUGGAUGUUUAUUCCGUACACGCCAGAAGAGUGUACAUUAAAUAGCUAUUGAAUUGUACACCAGUCAGCACAUUGACUUACAGAUUGUACAGUCUGAUUGUCAGUAAAGGAGAGAAAUAAAAAAAAAAAACCUUAUUUAUAUUACCAGGUACAAAAACAUAAAUUUUCUAGAUGAAGAAGAGUGAAGGGUGACUAGCAGAAAAGCAGCAGAAGUAGUAUUUGAAAACCACAAUCACAGUUUCAGUAAAUGUUUUUGUUGAUUCUGUAUACUCGGAGGGGGGUUAAAUUUUUUGGGACUUGCUUGUAGUGCAAGAGUACCUAGUUACAAUACCAGACAAAGCAGCUCUUUUAAAUAACUCCCUGUCAAUAAGACCUGAAGGUUCAACAAUAUUAACUCUUUGCAUACCCUGAACUGAUUAAAUAGUCUUACCAUUCCUCAGUGACUCAGUGCGAAUCACGUGGUACAACAUUUCUGCAGAUAGAUGGCAUCAAGUGUAACAUAUCAAUAUAUACUGAAGAGAACAGAUUACCUAUUGUUACAAACAACUGUGGUCGUUAGAAGGUAAUCUGUGAAAGUGUCCUGUGUUUUUCCUUGCAAUUGCAUUUACCCCAAGGAGCCUUGGCGUUUCUAGAAGGUGGUUCUGUGGUGGGACUUGGCAGUCAAAGGGAUAAUAAUAAAGCCUGGGCCAGCUGAUUCAGUUCACAUCCCCACAACAAAUAUUUGCUGAUUAUAAAGCAUCUCACCUAACUUCAUACCUUUGUGUCUAAUAUAAAAAUUGUUUCAGUGACACACACAUAUAUGUAUAAUGUAUGCUGUCUAGGGCUGGAAUAUUUGGAAUCAGAACACAUUCCCUGCUACAAAACGGCUAGCAAUUCCUAGGCAGCUUAGCCUACAAAAUUGUUGCCCCAGAAACGAAAAUCUAAUAGUGGAGUCUCCACCAUUACGUACAAACUGUUAGAGGCAGACACAUAUUCCCAUGUUCAUUGCAUAACAGCAGACGGAAUUAACCCUUCAACAAGGUAUUCCCUAUUCAAUCUGAGGGCAAGCGAUAACAGUCCAAUGUCAGCCAGAGACCAGCGAAGUUUGUAUUCAACUUUAGCACGAAAGAGUCCUUAUCCAACUAGAGCAUAAGUAUUGUAACACUGGAGAAGAAACAUCCAAGGGCCUUAGAAGUGGAGAAUAACUGUCAGUGCGAGUGUAAAAAUGACUGUCCAAUAAAGGUAUUCGUUCAAAUUCAAGAACCCACACAAUCUCUUGUCACAUUGCCUAGCAAACACAAGACGUGUAUAUAUAUUCAGUUGACAUUUAGACUUUCUGGUUAGAGAGUCACAUUUAAAAAGGGGUCAUGUGAGAUCCUACAGAACAGCACAUGAAUACUCUUCAGUGCUCAAUCUAAUUCAUGAAGAGUAUGUUUGAUUAAUUCUUUCAGUUAAAUUUCCAUUCAUUAGUGGUCAGGAUAACUGGUUGGCUGCUUCAGCAUUUUGCCAAGAAAUCCUGCCUCAAAGAACUGACCAUUAUGAUUUUUAUAUAUUUUAGUCUGAGCUGAACAGUGCAAGAAACAUGUACUGCCAUCUCUCAAGAACUAUUAUGAAUAUUAAAGAACAAAAGUAGCAUGUUUCCUUAAACAUAUGUGAAGAGAAGUACUUCUCUUGAAAUGAAAAUCAGCAUGGAGAGGAUUAAGAAUGAAGCCACAAUCAUUAAAUGGUUUAAGAUAAUCAUCAGGAAGGCAGGCAAGAUGGCCUCAUGAAAGGAAACCUGCACCUUGCAAAUUUGUUAGACAAUGCAUUCCCUUGUUCAUAACUGUUUAGUGUAGCCACAUAUCCUAUCCAUGAUAUUAAUAAGCAUGCUCUUACUUAUAGUAAUAUUAUGUUGGAUAUUGCUCAUUAUCUGACCUAAUUAAACAAGAACAAUAUUUAAGGGGUAAGCUCUACUCCCAUCUUCAGCCAAUUAGUUAUCACUAUGCUAUUGUUCAGAUGGUUAAGUGCUGGCUACUUGCUGCGGCAGCCUGGGGUUCAAGCCCAGGUCAAGUCAUGUGGGGUUCAUGGUGGACAUAGUGGCAAUGGGGCAGUUCUUCUCCAAGACUUUCAGUUCCCUCUGCCAAUUCUCUUUCCACCAACUGCUCCACACUCAUCAUCCAUCAUCUUGGGCUGGUACAGCAGGUCAAAUAGUGACUGUUGUACCAAGUGGACUCAGUCUCACCCCAAUUAUUAUUAUUUAGAUAAAUUUGUUACCUUAAGAUUAGUGGUGACAGUUCAGACAGCACUCAGAAUUUUGUAUAUAUGUCUAGAAUUAGCCUAGUAUUCAAAAUGUCGUGGAUUAGCUCCAAUCAUCACUACCAUCUUAUAAUAAUAUACUGACAACCCACCAUCUGAAGACAGCGGUAUAGCCAGCUCCAAAAAGAACAUAUAUACAAAAUAUACCUCAUAUGAUGUAUAAUAUCCAAUAUAAUUUUAUUUGUUUCAUUCUGGUCCGUCACACUAACAAUAUUAUAAAAAGAUAAAACAGAUCCGUCCCAUGUGACUGGUGAAGAAUUGAAAUAAGAAAAAUCUUCACCAGUCACACUGGGUGGAACUGUUUUUAUCUUUUUUAUAAUCCAAUAUAAUAUUGAUUCAAUAACUCAACCAAUAUAAAUUUUUUUUAAGAAUCAUGAAUGCACCUUCUUAUUUUCCUAUAUAUAUCUCUAUUUAUUCUGAAGUAUAUUCCUUAUCACAUGUUACAAGUUCGCAGUUUACUGAGAAAACCCAACAACAUUUCACUAACUGUUUACACAACAGAAAAUUGUUUUUAGUUCAGUAACAUCAUACUGUUCCCCAGAGUUUAAAAAUUGCUAGAAUAUUUGUACUUCCAGUGCAUGAAUAAAAAUAAGAAAAUGAAUUUAAUCUAUGCAUUCUCAUUUAUUCCCUAUAGUUUUGUCUUUAUAUGCCCUUCUUGGCUUUUAACCAUGCAUUUAUUUUCAGUGGUAACUGAUGUCUCUAUAACUGCAGUCCAUUUUCAUAUAAACUGCAAUGAUGAACCAUGGUAUAGAAAAUAUUUAAUGCAGAAAUGAAACUGCAUGACGAACCAGUACUACAGAAUUGUAUUCUCUCUUUAUUCCUCAUAUCAACACAACAGAAAUACACAGGUGUGGUUCACCUAGUCCCCGAUCUAA